CUUUUCUUGAUUUUGUGUAAUUAUGGUGGAAAAUGGUGUGAAUUUUGGGUGAAAUUUUGAGUUUUGAGGAUUUGGGUGUUUUCUUAACCUUCCAAAGUAUGGAAUUUCACUUUACAAUUUCAAUUUUUGGUUAAAAAAGAAAAAACCCCUUUUCUUGAUUUUGAUGAUUUUGGAGAAAAAUGGUGUGAAUUUUGGGUGAAAUUUUGAGUUUUGAGGAUUUGGGUAUUUUCUUAAACCUUCCAAACUUUGGAAUUUCACUUUACAAUUUCAAUUUUUGGUUAAAAAAGAAAAAACCCCUUUUCUUGAUUUUGAUGAUUUUGGAGAAAAAUGGUGUGAAUUUUGGGUGAAAUUUUGAGUUUUGAGGAUUUGGGUAUUUUCUUAAACCUUCCAAACUUUGGAAUUUCACUUUACAAUUUCAUUUUUUUGGUUAAAAAGAAAAAAAAAAAAAACCUUUUCUUGAUUUUGAUAAUUUCGGAGAAAAAUGGUGUGAAUUUUGUGUGAAAUUUUGGAUUUUGAGGAUUUGGGUGUUUUCUUAAUUGAUUGAUCUGCCGGUUGAGGAAAUUGUUUGGGUCCUAACCGGCAAUUAGCAAGAAGAAGAG
rnacentral:lncRNA from 1 species